ensembl:lncRNA
AUUCCCAGUGGGGAGCUGUCUACAAUGGGAACUCACCUACCGGGGGCCAGGUAUAUGCAACCCCUCAGCUUAGCCUCUUAAAAAAGAGAAAAAGGACAGUUGUCAUCUAACUGCUCUGACUUUGCAAAAGAAUCAGUGGCAUUCAAGGAUGUGCCUGUGGACUUCACCAGGGAAGAGUGGGGGCAACUGGGCCCUGCUCAGAGGGACUUGUACAAGGAAGUGAUGCUGGACAAUUAUAGGAACCUCAUCUCCCUGGGGCUUCCAGUUUCCAAACCAGAUGUGAUCUUCCAGUUGAAGAGAGGAGAAGUACCAUGGAUGCCAAACAGAAAAGACUCCAGCGACACCUGUCUGGACCAAGAAAGACGUCCAACUCCCGCAGCCGGCCAGCCGCCAUGAAGCCCUCCAAGCUUGAGCCUGCCCUGACCUCGGACUCCUCGACGAGCAGUAAGAAAGGGGCCAAGAGGGAGCGGACCAUGUUUAACGAGGUCCAGCUCGACGUUCUGCUGGGCGAGUUCCACAAGAACCCCUACCCCAACUACUCCGUGCGCAGCGAGCUCGCCAACCGCCUCGACGUGCCCGAGUCCAGGAUCCAGAAUUGGUUUCAGAACCGAAGAGCCAAGCAGUCAAGGCAGCUGAAAGAAAAAGAAAGCUUGAAUUUAUCCGGGCAGGCCCAGGACCAGGGAGAGCAGAGCUCCUUGGUCCACGGCCCGAGAAAUCCUCAGACUUCAACUCCCAGCCAUGUUCCCCAGGAGAGCCUCGCAGAGGCCCAGUUAGCGUGGCCAAAUAGGUCCAGGUUCCCCUCGUCUAAGGUGACCAAGGCGGCCCUUGGGGAAAGUCCUGGCUUCCCAGAGACAGUGGCCCCAGCCUCAGCCUUGGCCAAGGAGGCUUCCACGAGCCCAGGAGCCUGGCUGCAGCCUCCCGCCCUGACGGUGGAGUCUCACCCCUGUCUAAAGCCCCAGUCCUGGGGAAGCCCCUCCCAGAGUACGCACCCCCGGCUCCAGAGCCUGAAGAGAGGACAGCAGCCCGAGAGACGCCUUUGGCUCGAGUAUCUGCGCCAGCUGCACGAGCAGUCCCAGCAGUAUCCCUGGAUGCAAGAGUAUCUGGAAUACCUACAGCAGCACCCAGUCCCAGUGGCACCCGCCCUGUCCCCCAGCCCACCAGCAACCCCCCUUCCAGAUACCGUUCCCAGUGCCUCAGCAUCCCUAGCCACAGAAGCAGGGGGGCCGGAGACCUCUCCGGCCAAAUGAAUGCCUCUCAGUCCCAGGAUGCAGGAGCGUCUGGAGCCACGAUGGAACUCUUUCUUCCCCCUCCCCUUCUGCCCCCCACUUACCUCUGCUCCAUGAUCCAUGAUCUGGUCGGCUUCCUGGGCCCAGGCAGCCGUUUGACCGGAACUGUCUCUUUGAUGUACUUUGAGUUACACAAUGGAUUCCUCUUUUGUUGUUGAGGGACAGAAAUGGUCCUGAACCUUUGCUCUGAGAUGGAUGAUGGAACUCGGGGUGUCUUAGUCUGAGCCGCGUGGACGGGUAGUCACGCUGGGUUUUGUUCCCCUACUUCUGCUCGAUCCACAGUCAAUCAUUGGGAAUUCUGCCCCUGCUUCGAGAAGCUCAACAACCACCAGCUUGUAGAAUGAUGCUCGUCUCUUAAUUAGCAGGUCCACGGGCCAGGGAAGAAGGGUACAAGAGACCAGAGUGGUCCAGAUUGGCCUGUUCAGUAUUAGUCCAAAAUUAAGGAAAAGCUUCAUGGUGCCAUACUUGCCUUACCCCUAGACAGUCCGUGGGCCAUCCAUCACUGGUCUCUGGGGAGUCAUUUAGAAGAGCGAUCAUGUCAGAAAUGGAAGCCCUCCUGUGUCUUUGGAGUUAUCCUACCAACACGAGACUUUUCUUGAAGCUGACGUUAAAAAACCCUGAAUUGAAUGCCAAUAUUUGUUACCUAGCUCUAUUAUUCAAAGACCACCUUGGGAGGGCAUGGCUGUGAAUGAACCUGUAUGAAGUGGGCACGUGUAGACCACGUUCUUCUCCCUGAGUGGAGGAAGGGGAGCCUCCCUCAUGAACUCUGCAGUUAAGCCUUAAGCCUAUCAAAAAGGAAUAGAAGAUGGCAAUAAUAACAGUCGUAUUUUUACAGUUAACAGAAUAUUCUCCUUCUCCUAAGCUUGGAGGUAGAUGCUGGUGAAGUCCAGUGAUUGGCUCUGCCAGGACUUCAAUCCUCGAAGUCCUGUUUUCUUCCUCUCUAGGCAGGACUUCGGGGUUCCCCGUCCUCCCUUCCUCUUCUUUCUCCAAGGCCCAAUUUUGUCCUUGGCUUCCCCUGUUAGGUAGCAGGUUCUUCUAGUGGAGAGAGACCAGAUUUUGAAACCUUUGGCCAAACCGGAGCCUCUGAUGGAGUUAGCCAUGAUGAUGAUGAUGAUGAUGAUGAUGAUGAUGAUGAUGAUGAUGAUGAUGAUGAUGAUGAUGAUGAUGAUGUUGUCCCUAUCCCUAUCUUUUUUCUUCCCUCAUUCCUUCAGGGAAGCGGCGUGGCCUGACCUAUAGAGAUCCCAGCUUCUGGUUUCACAGUGUGACCCUGAGCAGACCAUUUCACUCCUUGGGACCUUGGUUGGUUGGGCUAGGUCACUGACUUCCAAGGUUCCUUCCUACUUUCACCUGAUCCUCCUUUUCUCUCCCCUGAGCACUUCUUUGUUUUUUUCACCCUUGAGAAGCUAAAUUCGUCCUUCAAGGCUCAUCUCAGGGGAUAUUUUGUAUGGGAAGCCUUUGCUCAUCUCCCUCCUUAUUACCUAGGUAAAUAUUGAAUUCCCAGUAGACUAUAAGCUUUGGGGUGGGUUAGGGUGGGACUGGGGUGGGGGGAAGGGAGUCUUUUCUUUUCCCUAUUUUUGUAUCAUUUCCCAUAGUGUCACUACCUGUCAUGGGCACUUAGUUUAUACUUAGAGAAUCAGACACUCAUGUGAGGAUUUAUUUUAGUCAGUCCCCUGCAGCAGUACUUGCUUGAUAACUAUUGGUGGAAUAAACGUUGCGUCUAAAGAGAGGACCUUCA